rnacentral:rRNA from 1 species
UUGACAUCCAGCGAACUUUCCAGAGAUGGAUUGGUGCCUUCGGGAACGCUGAGACAGGUGCUGCAUGGCUGUCGUCAGCUCGUGUUGUGAAAUGUUGGGUUAAGUCCCGNAACGAGCGCAACCCUUAUCCUUUGUUGCCAGCGAUUCGGUCGGGAACUCAAAGGAGACUGCCGGUGAUAAACCGGAGGAAGGUGGGGAUGACGUCAAGUCAUCAUGGCCCUUACGAGUAGGGCUACACACGUGCUACAAUGGCGCAUACAAAGAGAAGCGACCUCGCGAGAGCAAGCGGACCUCAUAAAAGUGCGUCGUAGUCCGGAUCGGAGUCUGCAACUCGACUCCGUGAAGUCGGAAUCGCUAGUAAUCGUGGAUCAGAAUGCCACGGUGAAUACGUUCCCGGGCCUUGUACACACCGCCCGUCACACCAUGGGAGUGGGUUGCAAAAGAAGUAGGUAGCUUAACCUUCGGGAGGGCGCUUACCACUUUGUGAUUCAUGACUGGGGUGAAGUCGUAACAAGGUAAGCGUAGCGAG